rnacentral:rRNA from 14 species
UGACUGGGGCGGUCGCCUCCUAAAGGGUAACGGAGGCGCCCAAAGGUUCCCUCAUCCUGGUUGGUAAUCAGGUGGUGAGUGUAAGUGCACAAGGGGGCUUGACUGUGAGACUGACAGGUCGAGCAGGGACGAAAGUCGGGACUAGUGAUCUGACGGUGGCUUGUGGAUGCGCCGUCACUCAACGGAUAAAAGGUACCCCGGGGAUAACAGGCUGAUC